rnacentral:sRNA from 1 species
GUGACCGGAGGCGGCGGCGGCGAGCGGUUCCUUGUGGGCUAGAAGAAUCCUGCAAAAAUGUCUCUCUAUCCAUCUCUCGAAGACUUGAAGGUAGACAAAGUAAUUCAGGCUCAAACUGCUUUUUCUGCAAACCCUGCCAAUCCAGCAAUUUUGUCAGAAGCUUCUGCUCCUAUCCCUCACGAUGGAAAUCUCUAUCCCAGACUGUAUCCGGAGCUCUCUCAAUACAUGGGGCUGAGUUUAAAUGAAGAAGAAAUACGUGCAAAUGUGGCCGUGGUUUCUGGUGCACCACUUCAGGGGCAGUUGGUAGCAAGACCUUCCAGUAUAAACUAUAUGGUGGCUCCUGUAACUGGUAAUGAUGUUGGAAUUCGUAGAGCAGAAAUUAAGCAAGGGAUUCGUGAAGUCAUUUUGUGUAAGGAUCAAGAUGGAAAAAUUGGACUCAGGCUUAAAUCAAUAGAUAAUGUAAGUAUUUUAAAUACCUAUUUGAAUUUGUCUAAAUAUCUUACAUAAUAAGUGAUUAAUGUUAAAAUAAUUUGAAAUGGAAAUGCUUUAAUUAUAAUAGUGCAUCUGUAGUUGAGAAUAUUUUAAAUCUACUAACUUACAUGUUUUCAAUUGGGGAUGUUCUAUUUUGCAGAGGCAUAGUUGGGACUUCUGACCACAUUACUUUGAAAGAUGUUUCUUUUCUGAAUAUUCUAACUGAAAUACAUUUCACUGGCCUACAUAUAUUAUAGUUUGUAUAAUAGAAUUGUGGCAAUUAAAUAGAGCAG